rfam:Candidatus Woesearchaeota archaeon CG1_02_47_18 cg1_0.2_scaffold_2314_c, whole genome shotgun sequence.
GCCCCUGUAGCAUAGUAGCCAAUGCGUCGCUCUCGUAAAGCGAAGACCGUGGGUGCAACUCCCUCCAGGGGCU